rnacentral:rRNA from 1 species
AGUGAACGCUGGCGGUAGGCCUAACACAUGCAAGUCGAACGGCAGCACAGUAAGAGCUUGCUCUUACGGGUGGCGAGUGGCGGACGGGUGAGGAAUACAUCGGAAUCUACUUUUUCGUGGGGGAUAACGUAGGGAAACUUACGCUAAUACCGCAUACGACCUACGGGUGAAAGCAGGGGAUCUUCGGACCUUGCGCGAUUGAAUGAGCCGAUGUCGGGUUAGCUAGUUGGCGGGGUAAAGGCCCACCAAGGCGCCGAUCCGUAGCUGGUCUGAGAGGAUGAUCAGCCACACGGGAACUGAGACACGGUCCAGACUCCUACGGGAGGCAGCAGUGGGGAAUAUUGGACAAAGGGCGCAAGCCUGAUCCAGCCAUACCGCGUGGGUGAAGAAGGCCUUCGGGUUGUAAAGCCCUUUUGUUGGUAAAGAAAAGCAGCAGGUUAAUACCCCGCUGUUCUGACGGUACCCAAAGAAUAAGCACCGGCUAACUUCGUG